GUCCACGCCCUAAACUAUGUCAACUGGUUGUCGGGGAAGCAAUUCCUUGGUAACGAAGCUAACGCGUGAAGUUGACCGCCUGGGGAGUACGGCCGCAAGGUUAAACUCAAAGGAAUUGACGGGGACCCGCACAAGCGGUGGAUUAUGUGGAUUAAUUCGAUGCAACGCGAAAACCUUACCUACCCUUGACAUGCUAGGAAGCUCGCAGAGAUGUGAGUGUGCCCGAAAGGGAACCUAGACACAGGUGCUGCAUGGCUGUCGU
rnacentral:rRNA from 1 species